CCCGUCUGUGGAUGAACAGGAGAUCCCCACUCUGCGCUCAUGUUGGGCCAAACGUCAGCAGGUCGUCGUUUCCUACGGCAACCAGCAGAUGGUGCAGCUGCAUCCUGAGCUGUGGGCUGAAAUACCGUACUGGUACGCUGACAGCCCAGACCCGAAGAAGGUGAUUGCCUACCUGGAGGACCAGAAGCAAAGAGGAAGACCAGGUACGUGAAAUUCCUGUAAAUUUCCAGCAAAGUUUCAUUGAAAAUCUUCA